GGCCCCUAGACUCUCAGUCCCAGCUCAGGUAUAUCCCAGCCCCUAGACUCUCAGUCCCAGCUCAGGUAUAUCCCAGCCCCCCAGCCCCCUAGACUCUCAGUCCCAGCUCAGGUAUAUCCCAGCCCCCAAGGCUCUCAGUCCCAGCUCAGGUAUAUCCCAGCCCCCUAGGCUCUCAGUCCCAGCUCAGGUAUAUCCUAGACCCCCAGUCCCAGCACAGGUAUAUCCCAGCCGCCCCUUAGUCCCCCCGUCCCAGCUCAGGUAUAUCCUAGACCCCCAGUCCCAGCUCAGGUAUAUCCCAGCCCCUAGGCUCUCAUCCCCUCUUUCAGGUAUACAUCAAUAAGCUACAUGGGAGGCCGACUCAGAGUGGAGGGGAGCUCGAAUAGCAGGGCUUAGCAUAGACUCUAUGCGUCCUAAAUGGCACCCCAUUCCCAUUGGGAGUCACCCUUAGACUCUCUUCCCAACAACCCCUGAGAGAUCUGUUACCACCAUGCCCCACUACUUGCUUCCCGCCUGCCUCUCUCCAGCUCUCUUUAUCUUGCUCCCUCCUCUCUCUCACACCAUCACUCUCUUCUCUCUCUCAAUUAAAUUCAGUUCAAUUCAAGGGGCUUUAUUGGCAUGGGAAUCAUAUGUUAACAUUGCCAAAGGAAGUGAGGUAGAUAAUAUACAAAAGUGAAAUAAACAAUAAAAAGGAACAGUAAAUAUUACACUCACAG
rnacentral:lncRNA from 1 species